UACGGAGGGGGCUAGCGUUGUUCGGAAUUACUGGGCGUAAAGCGCACGUAGGCGGCUUUGUAAGUUAGAGGUGAAAGCCCGGGGCUCAACUCCGGAAUUGCCUUUAAGACUGCAUCGCUAGAAUUGUGGAGAGGUAAGUGGAAUUCCGAGUGUAGAGGUGAAAUUCGUAGAUAUUCGGAAGAACACCAGUGGCGAAGGCGGCCCGCUGGGCAGUGGCUGGACGCUGAGGCGCGACAGCGUGGGGAGCAA
rnacentral:rRNA from 1 species